AUUUCCAGCCUUAUGUUGUGGCUUCUCAUGGACCUAUACAGAGCAAGAAUGGAGGGGUCUGGAGAAUGGGGAGAUCAUUUGACAUUGCAGGCAGCUGCUGAUAAGGUUUGCUAUGCAGAGAUAUUUGCUCUCAUUCCCUAAGAAUUGGAUCUCACUCAAUCUGACAAAUAACUUGUAUGCAUGUUUGUUUUUAUGCAUUCUGUGCAUGACCAUGAUUGAAGAGCAUGCAAGCAUCUCUCUUAAAUGUGAGUGUUCCUGAAGAACAAAUUAAAUGUGCUUCAAGAGCAUGCAAGCAUCUCUCUCUCUUGCAG